rnacentral:lncRNA from 1 species
AGCUCAGCAGGGGAAGAUGGCAGGGGCCAGUCAUGCCUCGUCAUGGCAAUUACAAGGAUCCGCCCCUCCCCCAGGCCUAGCCUCGCCCAGAGAGCCGCCCUCUUCCGGGAACCUCCUGCUCCGGAGCCAGGAAGGGCUGCCCCUUCCCCACCAGGAGGCCAGGAGAUGCCUCCCUGUGCCCACAGAAUCCAGGAAGGCCCUGGAAACUGAAGGCUCUCUCCAGCAUGCAGCCCAGCCCUGCCCUCCUGACUGGCAGAAAUCCGACCCAAGGCCAGGGCCUAUGAACAACCAUGACAGUAAGGAAUGGGUUCAGCAGGAAGGAGUCGCC